ensembl:snoRNA
GUUGAUGUCUACCCCUAUGGGCUUUUUCUAUAAAACCUACAUUGUUGGAAAUGCCUCAGAGAGUAACUAUGUAGUUUCCUUUACUCAUAUAACUACCUGUUAGAUCUGUGGAAAGAACUUUAAGAGAGAG